rnacentral:snoRNA from 2 species
AUCCUUUUGUAGUUCAUAAGCAUGAUGAUUGGGUGUUCCUGUGGUUGUACCUCCCUCAGACCUUGUUACAAUAUUGCCACCUUACCCAUCUGACA